UACAGAGGGGGCAAGCGUUGUUCGGAAUUACUGGGCGUAAAGGGCGCGUAGGCGGCGGGGCAAGUCGGGUGUGAAAUCUCAGAGCUCAACUCUGAAACUGCACUCGAUACUGCUUUGCUUGAGGACUGGAGAGGAGAUUGGAAUUCACGGUGUAGCAGUGAAAUGCGUAGAUAUCGUGAGGAAGACCAGUGGCGAAGGCGGAUCUCUGGACAGUUCCUGACGCUGAGGCGCGAAGGCCAGGGGAGCAAACGGG
rnacentral:rRNA from 1 species